GACGAACGCUGGCGGCGUGCUUAACACAUGCAAGUCGAACGAUGAAGCGGUACUUGCACCGUGGAUUAGUGGCGAACGGGUGAGUAAUACGUGAGUGACCUACCUUUGACUCUGGGAUAAGCCUGGGAAACUGGGUCUAAUACCGGAUACGACCAAUCUCUGCAUGGGGUGUUGGUGGAAAGCGUUAUGGAGUGGUUUUAGAUGGGUUCACGGCCUAUCAGCUUGUUGGUGAGGUAAUGGCUUACCAAGGCGACGACGGGUAGCCGGCCUGAGAGGGUGACCGGCCACACUGGGACUGAGACACGGCCCAGACUCCUACGGGAGGCAGCAGUGGGGAAUAUUGCACAAUGGGCGCAAGCCUGAUGCAGCGACGCCGCGUGAGGGAUGACGGCCUUCGGGUUGUAAACCUCUGUUAGCAUCGAAGAAGCGAAAGUGACGGUAGGUGCAGAGAAAGCGCCGGCUAACUACGUGCCAGCAGCCGCGGUAAUACGUAGGGCGCGAGCGUUGUCCGGAAUUAUUGGGCGUAAAGAGCUUGUAGGCGGUUGGUCGCGUCUGCUGUGAAGGCCGGGGCUUAACUCCGGUUUUGCAGUGGGUACGGGCUAACUAGAGUGCAGUAGGGGAGACUGGAAUUCCUGGUGUAGCGGUGGAAUGCACAGAUAUCAGGAGGAACACCGAUGGCGAAGGCAGGUCUCUGGGCUGUAACUGACGCUGAGAAGCGAAAGCAUGGGGAGCGAACAGGAUUAGAUACCCUGGUAGUCCAUGCCGUAAACGUUGGGCACUAGGUGUGGGGGACAUUCCACGUUUUCCGCGCCGUAGCUAACGCAUUAAGUGCCCCGCCUGGGGAGUACGGCCGCAAGGCUAAAACUCAAAGGAAUUGACGGGGGCCCGCACAAGCGGCGGAGCAUGCGGAUUAAUUCGAUGCAACGCGAAGAACCUUACCAAGGCUUGACAUGCAUUAGAUCGCGUCAGAGAUGGCGUUUCCCUUCGGGGCUGGUGUACAGGUGGUGCAUGGUUGUCGUCAGCUCGUGUCGUGAGAUGUUGGGUUAAGUCCCGCAACGAGCGCAACCCUCGUUCUAUGUUGCCAGCGGUUCGGCCGGGGACUCAUAGGAGACUGCCGGGGUCAACUCGGAGGAAGGUGGGGAUGACGUCAAAUCAUCAUGCCCCUUAUGUCUUGGGCUUCACGCAUGCUACAAUGGCCGGUACAGAGGGUUGCGAUACUGUGAGGUGGAGCUAAUCCCUUAAAGCCGGUCUCAGUUCGGAUUGGGGUCUGCAACUCGACCCCAUGAAGUCGGAGUCGCUAGUAAUCGCAGAUCAGCAACGCUGCGGUGAAUACGUUCCCGGGCCU
rnacentral:rRNA from 1 species